UUCCUUCUAUACACAUUGCUGAUUGUGAUAAGCUUUAUAGCAAGGUUCUAAAAAUCGGUUUAGUCGGCGCCUAGGCGGCAACUCGGUCAUAUCCGAAACGAUUUUCUUAAAAUCCGAUUUAUACCAAUUUAUAUGACAUCUGGAGCAGGAACUUCCUCACCUCCUGAAAAUGGAACAUCUCUUCCUCCUCGAACUGGAGCCUCUCUGCCUCCUCGAACUGAAGCCUCUUUGCCUCCCGGAGCCACUGGACAAGCUAAUUCUUUUGAAGAAGUGUAUUCUCAUACUAGCUUAGCUGAGCUAAAGAACGCUCCUGGAAGGC
rnacentral:lncRNA from 1 species